rnacentral:rRNA from 1 species
AUUGAACACUGGCGGCAGGCCUAACACAUGCAAGUCGAACGAGUGGCGGACGGGUGAGUAAUGUCUGGGAAACUGCCCGAUGGAGGGGGAUAACUACUGGCAACGGUAGCUAAUCCCGCAUACCAUCGGAUCUGCCCAGAUGGGAUUAGCGAGUAGGUGGGGUAACGGCUCACCUCGUCGACGAUCCCUAGCUGGUCUGAGAGGAUGACCAGCCACACUGGAACGCAGACACGGUCAAGAUGGCUACGGGAGGCAGCAGUGCGGAAUACGGCACAACGGGCGCAAGCUUGAUGCAGCCAUGCGCCGGGUAGGAAGAAGGCCUUGGGGUUGUAAAGUACUUGCAGCGAGGAGGCAUUACUCGCAGAAGAAGCACCGGCUAACUCCGUGCCAGCAGCCGCGGUAAUAC